GGGCAUGUGGUGUAUCUGGCUAACACAUUCGCACAAUAUCAACAUUUCCUCUCGCGUUUCUAUGAUGUUGCCAUCCGCGAAAGUAUCCGGUUCGAGUCCGGACAUGUCCC